rnacentral:rRNA from 1 species
UACGGAGGGGGCUAGCGUUGUUCGGAAUUACUGGGCGUAAAGCGCGUGUAGGCGGUUAUCCAAGUCGGGUGUGAAAGCCUUGAGCUUAACUCAAGAAAUGCACUCGGUACUGGGUGACUAGAGGACCGGAGAGGAUAGUGGAAUUCCCAGUGUAGUGGUGAAAUACGUAGAGAUUGGGAAGAACACCAGUGGCGAAGGCGGGUCUCUGGACAGUUCCUGACACUGAGGCACGAAGGCCAGGGGAGCAAACGGG